GUUAGAGCCUUUUCUGGACCUAAUGUUGGAGACUUUUCUGAAGCUAAUGCUAAUGCUUAUGCAACUGCCAAUACUGUAAGCUUCGGACCAGGUGUAAUCUUAAAUGAGGAUAUUGGUGCUUCCAAUGAUCUUAUCAGGAUGAAGAGGCAUCACCAUUCGCAUAAGACUAAGUUGGGUAGUUCUAGUAUUUUCUUGGAAACCCCGAAAACCAAGCUUGCCAUCGGAAAAUCCAAAGUCAAGAUUCAACCCCCGGAUUUGCAUCUCCAUGGACUCCAUCUUUGACGCGAGAGCGCUGAAUUUCCUCGAAGCCUAAUGAAGACGCCUGUUCAUUUUUUUUGUUUGAGAUUAUCAGAACAGUCGGAAUCGUAUUAGCUAGUGAAGAAAUUUUUUUUAAGGGAAACGGAAAGGCAAAAUAUACACGUCGCGUAUGAGUGAACAUAUGCGCGAAACAAAAUUAUUCAAAACAUUUAUUCGAUUCCUUUGAACAAAUUUGGCAAAAGUCUUAUAUAAUGAAUUUAAAAAUAAAAAUACUCCUUAAAUAAAUAUUUUUUUUCGUACAUACGGCAAAACUGACUGCACUGAAGCGAGUGGGCUUAUGGCAAUGCCAGUGGAAGGUCCAUGAUUCGACUACGUCAUCGACACCUUUUGAACGCGGAUAAAUUCCAUUUAAUAUCCAAGAUCACGGAAUAAAAUGAAUAAAACAUGAUCAACGCGAAAGCGUCCCGUCUACGGGCCACGGAUCAUUAUCCUAGUCCAAGGCAAAAAACUCAUCUACCUGGAAUCCCCCAAAAUCAAUGUCUCAAGUAGUCGCUGUUUGUAAUCGUGUUUAAUAUAUGAAAAAAAGUUUCCUCAUUCGAUAACUGUCAUAUUAAUUUAACAAUUACUCAAAUAACUAUUAAUUGAUUCUACUUGACACAUUUUUCUUUCUUCGAGGAAAUGGAAAUUUAAGUUGACCUUCUUUAAUGUACAAAACAAUGUAAUACUAGAAAUAAAACAAUGAAAGUAGUUAUUAAA